GAUGUCACUCGCUGUUGGGGACGUCAGGCCUUGUCCCCGCAAAUGACUCGUGUUAUUCACCUGCUGGGGAGUACCGUCGCGAUAUUACUAAUCAAAGGAAUUGACGGGGACCCGCACAAGCGGUGGAUGAUGUGGAUUAAUUCGAUGCAACGCGAAAACCUUACCUACCCUUGACAUGUCUGGAGAUGUGAAGAGAUUUGGGUCCGCUCGGACGAGAACCUAGAACACUGGUGCUGUGUGGUUGUCUUCUGCUCUUGUCUGUUGAUGUUGGGUUAACUCCCGCAACGAGCGCUACCCUUGUCAUUCAUUGCUACACGUGGGGACUCUAAUGAGACUGCCUGUGACAAACCGGAGGAAGGUGGGGAUGACGUCAAGUCCUCAUGGCCCUUAUGGGUAGGGCUUCACACGUCCUACCAUGGUCGGGACAGAGGGUCGCCUACCCGCGAGGGGGAGCCUAUCCCUUAAACCCCUAUCGUAGUCCGGAUUGGGGUCUGCAACUUCGACCGCCUGAAGUCGGAAAUCGCUAGUAAUCGCGGAUCACAAUGUCGCGGUGAAUACGUUCCCCGCGGUCUUUGUACACACCCGCCCCGUCCCACCCUGGGAGUGUGGGUUGUACCCUUAAAAUACUGUAGCCUAACCGGAAGGAGGGCGAUUAACACCCGUAGGAUUCGUGACUGGGGUG
rnacentral:rRNA from 1 species